AUUGAACGCUGGCGGCAUGCUUUACACAUGCAAGUCGGACGAGUGGCGAACGGGUGAGUAAUAUAUUGGAACGUACCGAGUAAUGGGGGAUAACCAAUCGAAAGAUUGGCUAAUACCGCAUACUAUCGGAGGGGCCAAGAUCUGAUUAGCUAGUUGGUGGGGUAAAGGCUCACCAAGGCGACGAUCAGUAGCGGGUCUGAGAGGAUGACCCGCCACCCUGGGACUGAGACACGGCCCAGACUCCUACGGGAGGCAGCAGUGGGGAAUUUUGCACAAUGGGCGCAAGCCUGAUCCAGCCAUGCCGCGUGUCUGAAGAAGGCCUUCGGGUUGUAAAGUACUUUUGUUGGGGAAGCGUUACCUAAAGAAGAAGCACCGGCUAACUACGUGCCAGCAGCCGCGGUAAUAC
rnacentral:rRNA from 1 species